UUCCACAAUGGACGCAAGUCUGAUGGAGCAACGCCGCGUGAGUGAAGAAGGCUUUCGGGUCGUAAAACUCUGUUGUUGGAGAAGAAUGGUCGGCAGAGUAACUGUUGUCGGCGUGACGGUAUCCAACCAGAAAGCCACGGCUAACUACGUGCCAGCAGCCGCGGUAAUACGUAGGUGGCAAGCGUUAUCCGGAUUUAUUGGGCGUAAAGCGAACGCAGGCGGUUUUUUAAGCCUGAUGUGAAAGCCCUCGGCUUAACCGAGGAAGCGCAUCGGAAACUGGGAAACUUGAGUGCAGAAGAGGACAGUGGAACUCCAUGUGUAGCGGUGAAAUGCGUAGAUAUAUGGAAGAACACCAGUGGCGAAGGCGGCUGUCUGGUCUGUAACUGACGCUGAGGCUCGAAAGCAUGGGUAGCGAACAGGAUUGGAUACCCUGGUAGUCCAUGCCGUAAACGAUGAAUGCUAGGUGUUGGAGGGUUUCCGCCCUUCAGUGCCGCAGCUAACGCAUUAAGCAUUCCGCCUGGGGAGUACGACCGCAAGGUUGAAACUCAAAGGAAUUGACGGGGGCCCGCACAAGCGGUGGAGCAUGUGGUUUAAUUCGAAGCAACGCGAAGAACCU
rnacentral:rRNA from 2 species